CAGUAGCCACGGUAAAACGGAGGGGGCUAGCGUUGUUCGGAAUUACUGGGCGUAAAGCGCACGUAGGCGGCUUGGUAAGUUAGAGGUGAAAGCCUGGAGCUCAACUCCAGAAUUGCCUUUAAGACUGCCGAGCUAGCAGGUGAGAGAGGUAAGUGGAAUUCCGAGUGUAGAGGUGAAAUUCGUAGAUAUUCGGAAGAAUACCAGUGGCGAAGGCGGCUUACUGGCUCAUACUGGACGCUGAGGUGCGAAAGCGUGGGGAGCAAACAGGAUUAGAUACCCCCGUAGUCCCUGUCUCUUAUAC
rnacentral:rRNA from 1 species